rnacentral:lncRNA from 1 species
ACAAAUCCCUAAAGAAAAUCUGAAACCGGUAUCAUCCUUCGCGUAAACUUUGAGCCUAUCAAGUUAGAACGCUGACCGUUGUGUCUUGUUUCAAAAAAAAGUGUGUGUAAGUGUUAUAUCUGCUCUUGUUCUUAGUUAUAAAAAAACAAAGUAUCAAAAAAAGAAGGAAAGUGAAAAAAAAGAAGAGUUGAGGAAGAAAAGUUGUGAAGAAAGAGUAGAAAGUUCACUCUGUUUAUGUGCUCAAGUUCUGAAUUUUAUAUCAAGUCACACAAGCAGUCAUUAUCCAUCUUUGGUGCAAAAUUUUGCUUGGGUUUGAUUGCAACACUUGCAUCCUAGGCAUACUCCUUGUUUG